GCUGUGGCUCAGUGGUAGAGCAUCGGCUUGGCAAACAAAAGGUCCCGGGUUCAAUUCCCAGCAUCUCCA
rnacentral:tRNA from 1 species